rnacentral:rRNA from 1 species
UACGGAGGGUGCAAGCGUUAUCCGGAUUCACUGGGUUUAAAGGGAGCGUAGGUGGGUUGGUAAGUCAGUGGUGAAAUCCCCGAGCUUAACUUGGGAACUGCCAUUGAUACUAUCAGUCUUGAAUACCGUGGAGGUCAGCGGAAUAUGUCAUGUAGCGGUGAAAUGCUUAGAUAUGACAUAGAACACCAAUUGCGAAGGCAGCUGGCUACACGAUUAUUGACGCUGAGGCACGAAAGCGUGGGGAUCAAACAGG